GUUAUUUUAAUUAUUCAAAAUAUAAUGUAAAUAAAUGCUAGCUGUUGAGAUGAAUCAGUGCUGAAAAUUCAUUAUUGAAUUCUGAGCUAGUAUCAAAGAGGAGAAAUCAAAAGCAUUUGCAGGCCCAGAAAAAUCUGCUGCUGCUGCCACUAUCUAUUCUUGAGUAAAAUCCCAUCUAUUAAAGGAAUAUUUGCAAAUUCUGUCUGAACAAGCAAAAUGGGUUAACUUCUGCUCUGAAUUACUACUAGUACCCACCCUGGUACUACAGGCUAGCCACUCUUUAAUUACAGCAAACUACCAAUAUACUACAAGCUGCCCCAAUUUUCCAUUUGUAGAAUUUCAUACACUGCAAUUAUCAUAACAGCCAGUCUAUUUUUUUGCCAUUACUGGUUGCAUGCCACAAAGAACAAGUUGAGAGUUCAUGCUGACAUCAUACAGAACAACUUUAUAGAAGUCAUUGUAUAAAUCAUGCAAAUUGGAUUUAAAAGCUUUCAAAUUUAUUAUUUUAAAAAUAUUACAAAUUUGAAACUUUGAAAAGCCAGAACUAAUUCAAGGAUUAUAUUUCAUGAAAUAAAGGGACAAACAGGCAUUAAACCUCAAA